GGAAGAAGCGAAUCGAACCCGAGCAGAACAGUUGCAGGCUUUGACAUAUGGAGAAAGAAAGAACACCAUUUCAAGAGUACUGUUGAAGCAAGCCCUGUUAUGAGUAAAAGCAUGAAAAAGCUGAAGCUUCACACAAGGGAAACUGCCUUCAACUGAGGUUAGUUGAAUUUAUUCAUUACAUUACUGUUUCUUUCAUAUCUGCCUUGGAAUGUUUGGGCCAUUUGUAGCCAACAACUACUUUAGGGAUCUCCAAAUAGAAAACCAAUAAUUUCAUGGUUUGCUCUCAUUCCAGCAAUGUGUAAUUCUCUCCCAAUUAAUGAUUCAUGUGCAUAUUGAAUUAAAGAGAAUCAUUCCUUCUUUA